UACAAUCAAACUGCGAAUGUCAUUAAGGAUGUCCGGCAGUCAGACUGUGAGUGAUAAGGUCCAUGGUCAAGAGGGAAACAGCCCAGACCGCCAGUUAAGGUCCCAAAAUACAGGCUAAGUGGAAAAGGAUGUGGGGAUGCCCAGACAACUAGGAGGUUGGCUCAGAAGCAGCCAUCCUUUAAAGAGUGCGUAACAGCUCACUAGUCGAGUGACCCUGCGCCGAAAAUGUACCGGGGCUAAGCCUGAUACCGAAACUGCGGAUUGUAGGAAACUAUAGUGGUAGGGGAGCGUUGUAUACGAGCAGAAGCCGUACCGUGAGGAGCGGUGGAUUGUAUAGAAGUGAGAAUGCCGGUGUGAGUAGCGAGAUGUAGGUGAGAAUCCUACACACCGAAAGCCCAAGGAUUCCAGGGGAAGGUUCGUCCGCCCUGGGUAAGUCGGGACCUAACGCGAGGCCGAGAGGCGUAGUGGAUGGAAAGCAGGCGAAAGAUUCCUGCACCCGUAUAUGGAGCGAAGGAGUGACGGAGACGGAUAGUGUGACCCUCUUAAUGGAUUGAGGGCGAAGCGAAGCGGCUGGUUACCAGGCAAAUCCGGUAACCAUAAGGCUAGAGCGUGACAGGUAAGCGAAAUCUUAGGAAAGUAGCGAAGCACAUGAUGACGGCUUCCAGGAAAAGCUUCUGGCAAUGCAUAUGCGGCCCGUACCAAAACCGACACAGGUGGGCAGGGAGAGAAUCCCGAGGUGAGCGAGAGAACUGUUGCCAAGGAACUCGGCAAAAUGACUCCGUAAGUUAGCGAGAAGGAGUGCUUAAGCAAUUAAGCCGCAGUGAAGAGGCCCAAGCGACUGUUUAACUAAAACACAGCUCUCUGCGAAGUCGCAAGACGAAGUAUAGGGGGUGACACCUGCCCGGUGCUGGAAGGUUAAGAGGAUCUGUUAAGAGUGAUCUGAAGCAGUGAUCCGAAGCCCCAGUGAACGGCGGCCGUAACUAUAACGGUCCUAAGGUAGCGAAAUUCCUUGUCAGGUAAGUUCUGACCCGCACGAAAGGUGUAACGAUUUGGGCGCUGUCUCGGCAGCAGACUCGGUGAAAUCUUAGUACCUGUGAAAAUGCAGGUUACCCGCAACUAGACGGAAAGACCCCAUGGAGCUUUACUGCAGCCUGAUAUUGAAUUCUGGUCAUACAUGUACAGGAUAGGUGGGAGACAAAGAGACGUGCACGCCAGUGUACGAGGAGUCGACGUUGGGAUACCACUCUUGUGUGACCGGGGUUCUAACCUGGUAUCGAGAACAGGUACGGGGAGAGUGUCAGGUGGGCAGUUUGACUGGGGCGGUCGCCUCCC
rnacentral:rRNA from 1 species